AAUGGCUGAGCAGGGCCACUAAUGGGUGGCUCAUUGACAGUUGGUUGCCAGUGUGGGGGCCCACUAAGGCACCAACCAAUGACUGAGCAGGACCAACUGCCUGGGAACAGAGCGUAAUGAUGCAUGACAAUGGCUGCUGUGUUAAGAGCCUAAGAGCCCAACUCACUGCGCUCUGUUACAUACAGACUGCCCGCUCAGGCAGACUGCCUCUGCGAUUGGCUGCAGAGGUGGGGAUGGGAGAGAGGUUCACUGCUGCUUCAAGGCUUGGGCCAAGGCCAGUGGAUGACCUUGGUGAGGAUCCUGGAGCCCUGCAAGACACAGCACCUAGCCUGUUCCCUGGGGGCCCCAAAUCAUCCCAGGGACAAGGCCAGGACUGCAUCUUCACUGCCCGCCUGAUGAUUACCACUCUACCAACUGUUGGCUGAAUGACUAACUGUCGCUCAUUGGCAGUUGGUCACUUGGAGGAGGGGCCACUGAAGGGCUAACAAUAGCUGAGCAGGACCACUAAUAGUCAUGUGGUUGUGUCCUAAAAGAAGGAUAGUUGAACUCCAAAGAAACCCACAGCCAGAUUUCAAGGCCAUCUAUCCUACCAGAGAAGACUCCAGCUGUCUCAGGUACUUUGUUAUGGCAGCCCUAAGAAAGUAAUACAAUCACAUCUGCUGCAUUCUAUGCACUGAGACAGCCACAAAGUCCCACCCAACGGAAAGACAAGAGUUGGGGAGGAGGAGUUGGGCAUCUCUCCGAGACAAUUCUCUCCAUUCGGGACACUAGCACCCUCAGUAUAGAAAUCCUGUCUGACUGUUCUACCACUUGGGUGUGUAUGAAGAUAACAAAAACAAGACCACAGUCCCACUUGACACCUCGAUUACAGCCUGAGGCUGAGGUACCCAGGUCACUUUUUCAUUCUGUUAUCGCCCUUCAAUUUAUCUGCUGAAGAACGCAAGGCAUUUGACAUGUAGCGUUUCCCACAAUACAGGUUUUCCUAAAUAUAUGUCCAUGGUGAAGUUC
ensembl:lncRNA